AAGAUGGGAUUUAUAAAGUGAGGGAAUAGAAAGGCUUAGUGCACAAUGUCGACGGCUUCCAUUAACAGUGCAAGCUGCCUUCUUUCUCUUAACAAAACCUCUUCUUCUUCUUCUAAUAUUAAUCGGCCUUCUAUUUCUGCAAGGCUUAACAAUAACCCUUCUCCUUCUCUCCCUAAUCUCAUCCAAAACAGGCCUGUUUUUGCUGCCCCUUCCCCUCUUAUCACCCCCACUUGGAGAGAAGAUAUGGGGAAUGGUUCAUAUGAGGAAGCCAUUGAGGCUUUGGAGAAGCUCCUCAGAGAGAAGGGAGAUUUGAAGGCUGCAGCAACAUCAAAAGUGGAACAGAUAACAGCAGAAUUGAAAACUGUAGAUGGAGAAAAGCCAGCCUUUGAUCCUGUUGAGAGAAUCAAAUCUGGUUUCAUUCACUUCAAGAAGGAGAAAUAUGACAAGAACCCAGAGUUGUAUGGUGAACUUGCAAAGGGCCAAAGCCCCAAGUUUAUGGUGUUUGCUUGCUCUGAUUCAAGAGUUUGCCCAUCACAUGUUCUUGAUUUCCAACCAGGGGAGGCUUUUGUGGUCAGAAAUGUUGCCAAUUUGGUUCCUCCAUAUGAUCAGAGCAAAUUUUCAGGUACUGGAUCUGCCAUUGAAUAUGCUGUUCUUCAUCUCAAGGUGCAAUACAUUGUUGUGAUUGGUCACAGUGCUUGUGGUGGUAUUAAGGGGCUCAUGACUUUCCCAUUUGAUGGAAACUACUCAACUGAUUUCAUUGAAGAAUGGGUGAAAGUUGGUCUGCCUGCUAAGGCCAAGGUGAAAUCAAAGCAUGGUGAUGCAGACCUUGGGGAACUGUGCACACACUGUGAAAAGGAAGCAGUUGCUGUAUCUCUUGGGAAUCUGCUAACCUAUCCAUUUGUUAGGGAUGGUUUGGUGAAUGGAACUCUUGGACUCAAGGGAGGUCAUUACGACUUCAUUAAUGGAACUUUCGAGCUCUGGGGACUCGAAUUCAACGUUACUCAGCCUUUGUCUGUAUGAACUCCAUCUAUUACCGGCGGAUCGAUAUGGUUUUUCUCACUGAUUUUCUUCGUAAAGGAUGUGGCCACCAUUCUGCACUGGAAGCUCUAGGAACAUGUUUAGAAGUCAAUCCUGUAAAGAUGAGACUUCUUUUAAUAACACACUCUUUGGUGAUGUUGAAAUAAGCCUGUUUUUUUCUUGA